CAGUAGCCGCGGGAAUACGGAGGGAGCUAUCGUUGUUCGGAAUUACUGGGCGUAAAGCACACGUAGGCGGCUUUGUAAGUUAGAGGUGAAAGCCUGGAGCUCAACUCCAGAAUUGCCUUUAAGACUGCAUCGCUUGAAUCCAGGAGAGGUGAGUGGAAUUCCGAGUGUAGAGGUGAAAUUCGUAGAUAUUCGGAAGAACACCAGUGGCGAAGGCGGCUCACUGGACUGGUAUUGACGCUGAGGUGCGAAAGCGUGGGGAGCAAACAGGAUUAGAUACCCCCGUAGUCCCUGUCUCUUAUAC
rnacentral:rRNA from 1 species